CUGUGACUCCUACGGGGAGGCAGCAGUGGGGGAAUAUUGCACAAUGGGCGCAAGCCUGAUGCAGCCAUGCCGCGUGUGUGAAGAAGGCCUUCGGGUUGUAAAGCACUUUCAGUUGUGAGGAAGGUGGUGUCGUUAAUAGCGGCAUCAUUUGACGUUAGCAACAGAAGAAGCACCGGCUAACUCCGUGCCAGCAGCCGCGGUAAUACGGAGGGUGCGAGCGUUAAUCGGAAUUACUGGGCGUAAAGCGCAUGCAGGUGGUUUGUUAAGUCAGAUGUGAAAGCCCGGGGCUCAACCUCGGAACUGCAUUUGAAACUGGCAGACUAGAGUACUGUAGAGGGGGGUAGGAAUUUCAGGUGUAGCGGUGAAAUGCGUAGAGAUCUGAAGGAAUACCGGUGGCGAAGGCGGCCCCCUGGACAGAUACUGACACUCAGAUGCGAAAGCGUGGGGAGCAAACAGGAUUAGAUACCCUGGUAG
rnacentral:rRNA from 1 species